AGACGCACCUGUUAGCGUUUAGUAGUCAAGACGAUACGCAGGUAUUAUUUUUCUGAACCUGUUGCGAUACGACAGAGAAAACGCGCUAUUUAGGCUUCGAAAGUCAAGGUAAGAUUGUUUAUUUUGAGUCAGUUUUCUUAAUUAGAAUUAGUUCAUUAGAAAGAGUAUCAAUCUCUCUAACGAUCUGUUAUUUGUCAGGUGUCAUGGGGUCAUGGAUGCUGGUUCUGUGUACCACAGUCACUCUGAUGCCUGUGUGUCUUCAUGGAGCAAUAUCAGUCCGCUUUAAGACCGGACGGCCUCUCUAUGUGGCACUCGGCCGAACUCUUGUUUUGGAAGUCGAAUUCAAGAAGGACUCGGACGACAAAAUAGACAUGGUGACGUGGGACCGCGAGAGAGGAAAUGUCACUGUCAGACUGUCACAUGGAAACAGAAUAUCUUUGGAGAACGGAGAUGCACUUCUGCGGGUCACUGAUGUUGCAGAAGGGGACCUUGCGACCUACAAAGUCACCGUUACAGACAGUAACGGAUACCAGCAGCAAGACUCCAUAGAAGUACAAAAGAUAGUGGAAUCUCCAAAGGCGUCAAUUACACGUGUGCUGGAUUGUGUUGUGGAUAAUCAUGGCAUGACUCAGUGGGACAGCCCUCAGUUUUCAUGGCUGGUUGAUGGUGUUACAGUAACCAAUCAAUCCGCCCUGUUAACUAAUGGCAGUAGACUAGAUAUCUCUGGGAUUAAGGGUGUUAACUACACCUGCAUCAUCAGCAGCAGUCUGGGGACACUCACAACACAUUAUGAAAUGCCAAAAGAAUCUCAGCCCUGUUGUGCGGGACUGAUUGCAGUCGGAGUUGUAACAGCAAUAGCACUUGUGGCCGGACCAAUUUUCCUGAAGAUGCACAGAAAACACCAUUAAAAUAAGUUAUCCCUACUAAGUUCACAUAGAAGAUUUUAUUAUUUAUUUACAUGUUAAUAUACCUGUAAACAGUUUAUUUUGAUCAUAUUGUUUAUUCUAAACUGUUGAUUUAAUAAAGUUCAUGUUUUAUGUCA
ensembl:lncRNA